UAAGACACUAAUUUCGUUCGAGCGGAACAUCAUUCGACCGAUCAAUAUCUUGACCAGCGGAACCUGUCAUUCAGAAAGAAAGAAAAGGCAUCAAAAGCAUCAACAAAACUUCAGUGUCUUGAAAGCGAUAAAGUGGGACAACCACGACAUUUCCCCAUGCCAUCGAACUUGAUCGCCCCCCGCCCAGCAGAGAAGAAUCUUGUGCGUUGCCGGGCUUGCAUGUCUCCGGAU
rnacentral:lncRNA from 1 species